AUUGAACGCUGGCGGCAUGCCUUACACAUGCAAGUCGAACGGCAGCAUGGAGAGCUUGCUCUCUGAUGGCGAGUGGCGAACGGGUGAGUAAUGCAUCGGAACGUACCGUGUAAUGGGGGAUAACGUAGCGAAAGUUACGCUAAUACCGCAUACGACCUGAGGGUGAAAGCAGGGGAUCGCAAGACCUUGCGUUAUACGAGCGGCCGAUGUCAGAUUAGCUAGUUGGUGAGGUAAAGGCUCACCAAGGCGACGAUCUGUAGCGGGUCUGAGAGGAUGAUCCGCCACACUGGGACCGAGACACGGCCAGACUCCUACGGGAGGCAGCAGUGGGGAAUUUUGGACAAUGGGGGCAACCCUGAUCCAGCCAUGCCGCGUGAGUGAAGAAGGCCUUCGGGUUGUAAAGCUCUUUCGGCCGGGAAGAAAUCGCACAGGCUAAUACUCUGUGUGGAUGACGGUACCGGCAUAAGAAGCACCGGCUAACUACGUGCCAGCCGCCGCGGUAA
rnacentral:rRNA from 1 species